AGGCUGCAAGCAGCUGCACUGGGGUUCAUAGGGCAGUGGCCCAGCUUGUUGGUGGUGGCAGGCGCAAGUGUGCCUCUGGGCAAAUGGCAGGAAAGGGGCCUGGGGCUGCGCUGCCACAAGAAGAGGGCCCCUCACGACUCCCCUGCCCCCCUACCCCUGGAACGGCAACAUCUUACAAGUCAAGGUUGCAGGUGUUUUUGGCACUCUGCCUAAAAAUGUUGCCAAACCCUGGUUCAGAAAAAAGCAGAAAAGGCAGGAUGGAAUCUAGAGCAGGCCGACUGGCUGAUAAACAAUUCUCCCCUUUGACAUCACAGCUCCCUGCCUUAAGCAAAUUGUACAUGAUUUCCUAGGACAACCCUGCCACACCCACGUAGAUGAAUCAGCUACCAUUCAAUGACAGAGCAAACCAGCUCUUUUACCCCUGGUUUACAGUGACAGUAUCUUGCAAUCUAGACGCACACCAGGUUGGAGCCCCAACAAGAAAAAGCUGUUUUUGAGAUUUAAACCCAUUCAGAUAUCUAUUAGAAAUCUAUGGUUCUGCUUCAGGUCAGAGAUUUGGGGGACCCAUAUUCCACUAUGCUGGUUAUCAGACCAUGAUCUGUGCAUCUCUGUGGACACAAAGAACUUAACUCUGGUCUGGGGAGAGAUGGCCAGUUAUGGUUACAUGGGGCUUGCUCCUCUUCCUCCUUCUCUCUGGUGUCUAAAAUGCAUUAGAAGGCAGCUUGGUAAAAAAAGGUGUGCCGCCACCUCUUCUGAUGGAGGCAUUUUCUGGGAAGAGUUGCUGUUCUUUUUUUAGGGAUGCCAUGUAAUUGAAUGGGAUGAGAGCCAGGCUUGCUUACUAAUGGGAAAA